CCUACGGGAGGCAGCAGUGAGGAAUAUUGGUCAAUGGGCGCAAGCCUGAACCAGCCAAGUCGCGUGAGGGAUGACGGCCCUACGGGUUGUAAACUUCUUUUUUAAGGGAAUAAAGCUAGCCACGUGUGCCUGUUUGUAGGUACUUUAUGACUAAGGGUCGGCUAAAUCCGUGCCAGCAGCCGCGGUAAUACGGAGGAUCCGAGCGUUAUCCGGAUUUAUUGGGGUUAAGGGGAGCGUAGGUGGGUUGUUAAGUCAGUUGUGAAAGUGUGCGGCCCAACCCGAACAUUGCACUUGAUACUGGCAGUCUUGAGUACAGAAGAGGUAGGCGGAAUUCGUGGUGUAGCGGUGAAAUGCAUAGAUAUCACGAAGAACUCCGAUUGCGAAGGCAGCUUACUAAACUGCAACUGACAUUGAUGCUCGAAAGUGUGGGUAUCAAACAGGAUUAGAUACCCUGGUAGUC
rnacentral:rRNA from 1 species